AUUUUUUUUUUAGAAAUCUUUUAUUGCGAUUAAUAUGAAAAGUAAAAAUGUAUAUAUAACAAUAAUAGAAGAAAAGAAAAAUGGAUAAUGUUUUUAGGACCCGCAACUUAGCACAAACUAAAUGUCUAGUGUUUCUAUCUCAAAUAAAUAUAAGUGCUUAAAUACAAAUUGUUUAAGUCUACAUCACAGCAUUCAAAUGCAUUUUUUUUUUAAGUACCAAUCACCUCCUAGAAAUCUAAUAAAAACAAGCAACUUCCAGACACACAAGGAGAAUGAGGUCUCAAACUACAUAGCAUACUCUCCCCCCUCCACUUUUGCCCAUAACCUUUUUAUAAAAGACUAAAAUCCUCUGAUCAAGUAGUGAAUUUCAGACUGAUUUUUAACAUGAUAAUAAAUUCACUUAAGUAGUUAAGUUUUUUUUUUAUACAAAUAGAUCUAGUUUUCAACCAAUCCCGACAUGUAUUAGCCAUUUUGUUAUUAGCCUUUAAAUCUGUUUUAAGAGAAACUAUCUCUUUAAAAACAGCAACUCCAUAAUAACUCACCAGUUCAGAAGCACUAAUUAACUACCAGUUUUCUAGAAAGACUUAUUAAGAUCUAUGUGUGAUUGCAGAGUUUCUGUAGCCAGAGGUUACUGUGUCCACCACAACUGUCAACUGCCUUAACUUGACCUAGAAAAAUUCCCCACCAGAGUGGGUGGAUUUAAGAACUACAUCCAAUCUUUGAAAGAGCAACAGUCAAGCUCCAUUAGAGCUGGGUGGACUUUAGAAAGACAUCAAAUCUUAAGUAAAAAUCUUAGCUUUGAACAGGACUUUUGGUUUUGAUUGUUUUAUCACUUGUGUGACAUGAGCCAAAUAAUUAACAAUUGUGAAUAUUUAAUAUAAAUCUUUACAUUCUAAAGAAGAACGUUCAAAAGUUCAAACACUUCUAUGCAGUGUGAGAACCUCUACAAAUUCAAAACAUGAAACUACUGGAAGGCUUUCUCUCUCAAACUUUGUUUCAUGCACUUUAUUUUUAUUAUUUACAAUUUACUUCUGUGACGGUUUGUAAAAAUAUGUUUUAAAUAACAGACAAGAAACUUUUAAAAUCUCAAUCUCUAAUGACAAAAAAAAAAAAAAAAAAACCUUAGAUAUUUUGUAUUGUACUAGAGCUGUAUGAAUAGUCAUAUAAAAUACAGCAUUCAUCAUUAAUCUUUGGAAUCAAAGACAAUGCCUUGAAAGAGAGAAGGAGAGAGCUGUAGGUAAUAAAAUCAAAAGUAAAAUUAUUCAUAGAUUGUAGGUAUCUUCUUACCAAGACACAGAAAAACCUGAGAUUUGGACAGAGUGAAAAGGAUUACUUUUUGAGAACACUCAUGGAAUACAAAAGUAUCACAGACUAUAGAUCAAGUGAAGUAGGGAUAUAUUAUCUGAAGUGAAGAACUAAAACUUAAAAUCCAAGUAUUCCAUAAAACUUAGAAAAUAGUAGUAACACUUAGAUGCCCAUGUUACCACUCUCUAUACAGAUCGUUUGAUGGGAGUAGAAUUAGUUAAAUUACGAACUUGAAUUUUCUUUGCUUACAUUUGACAGGGAAAU